CCGCUUAUUGCGUGAAAUUAUCUUCGUUCAAGAGACAACAGUGUCGCUUCAAUGGCCAAUACUAAAGGAUCAUCCAACAGCGUCUAUCAUUUUUGAUAUCUUUUCUCCCUCAGUCUCAUACUAACAGAACCAGGAAGAACCGAGGACCGCAUGUGCCAGACGCACUGCCGCAGCGAUGCGUCUUGCCUGGCUUCGCCGGUCCAAAAGGUGACGGGGAGACCACCGCUCAGACAAGGCUCACAGCAGAAGGCUAUAUACUUUAGAAAGGUUACCUUGCGCAAGGCGAAACUCUAGCGGUACUUAACGCAGUGAAGUACGCACUAUACAAUUCAGCGGGGGGAAAGAACGAUAUUGAAUGCUUCGCGCCAAUCGACCUUAUCGUCCUCUGUUCGUAGCUGGGCCAUGCGAACAAGACACGUGGUAGUAAAAUGCUCUGCGGUAUACGAUCGCUUGGUGGUUAUGAUUGAAGUGUAACUCUUUGUUGCCCCAGCUCUCAAGUAUCAUUGAGAUAAACUCAAUUUGCAAAAAGGCCCUUGGAAUCUCAGAGCCUGUCAUAUAGCACAGCUUCACUCUUCUAUCCGUGGGGUGAAAACUUUGCAUGCUUAUCUCUAUACCUAUAAUUACACUUGAAUGAUGAGGAGGAGUGAAAAGCUAGUUAAGUG
rnacentral:sRNA from 1 species